rnacentral:rRNA from 1 species
UACGUAGGGGGCUAGCGUUGUCCGGAAUCAUUGGGCGUAAAGCGCGUGUAGGCGGUCCGGUAAGUCCGCUGUGAAAGUCGGGGGCUCAACCCUCGAAUGCCGGUGGAUACUGUCGGGCUAGAGUGCGGAAGAGGCGAGUGGAAUUCCUGGUGUAGCGGUGAAAUGCGCAGAUAUCAGGAGGAACACCAAUUGCGAAGGCAGCUCGCUGGGACGUUACUGACGCUGAGGCACGAAAGCGUGGGGAGCAAACAGG